CGUGGGUAACCUGCCUUAUAGUGGGGGAGUAGCCUUUCGAAAGGAAGAUUAAUACCGCAUAAGAUUGUAGUAUCGCAUGAUAUAGCAAUUAAAGGAGCAAUCCGCUAUAAGAUGGACCCGCGUCGCAUUAGCUAGUUGGUGAGGUAAUGGCUCACCAAGGCGGCGAUGCGUAGCCGACCUGAGAGGGUGAUCGGCCACAUUGGGACUGAGACACGGCCCAGACUCCUACGGGAGGCAGCAUG
rnacentral:rRNA from 1 species